rnacentral:tRNA from 1 species
GGGGUUGUGGCUUAGUGGUAGAGCGCUUGCCUCAUACUCAUGAGGCACUGGGUUUGAUCCUCAGCACCA